rnacentral:rRNA from 1 species
UUGGUGGCGAGUGGCGAACGGGUGAGUAAUGUAUCGGAACGUACCAUUCAGUGGGGGAUAACGUAGCGAAAGUUACGCUAAUACCGCAUAUUCUGUGCGCAGGAAAGCAGGGGAUCGCAAGACCUUGCGCUGAUUGAGCGGCCGAUAUCGGAUUAGCUAGUUGGUGAGGUAAAGGCUCACCAAGGCGACGAUCUGUAGCGGGUCUGAGAGGAUGAUCCGCCACACUGGAACUGAGACACGGUCCAGACUCCUACGGGAGGCAGCAGUGGGGAAUUUUGGACAAUGGGGGCAACCCUGAUCCAGCCAUGCCGCGUGAGUGAAGAAGGCCUUCGGGUUGUAAAGCUCUUUCGGCCGGGAAGAAAUCGUAUGGGUUAAUACCCUGUGCGGAUGACGGUACCGGCAUAAGAAGCACCGGCUAACUACGUGCCAGCAGCCGCGGUAAUACGUAGGGUGCGAGCGUUAAUCGGAAUUACUGGGCGUAAAGCGUGCGCAGGCGGUUUUGUAAGACAGGCGUGAAAUCCCCGGGCUCAACCUGGGAACUGCGCUUGUGACUGCAAGGCUAGAGUAUGGCAGAGGGGGGUGGAAUUCCACGUGUAGCAGUGAAAUGCGUAGAGAUGUGGAGGAACACCAAUGGCGAAUGCAGCCCCCUGGGCCAAUACUGACGCUCAUGCACGAAAGCGUGGGUAGCAAACAGGAUUAGAUACCCUGGUAGUCCACGCCCUAAACGAUGUCAACUAGGUGUUGGGUGGGUAAAACCAUUUAGUACCGGAGCUAACGCGUGGAGUUGACCGCCUGGGGAGUACGGCCGCAAGGUUAAAACUCAAAGGAAUUGACGGGGACCCGCACAAGCGGUGGAUGAUGUGGAUUAAUUCGAUGCAACGCGAAAAACCUUACCUACCCUUGACAUGUCCAGGAGCCUGAAGAGAUUUGGGUGUGCCCGAAAGGGAACUGGAACACAGGUGCUGCAUGGCUGUCGUCAGCUCGUGUCGUGAGAUGUUGGGUUAAGUCCCGCAACGAGCGCAACCCUUGUCGUUAAUUGCCAUCAUUCAGUUGGGCACUUUAACGAGACUGCCGGUGACAAACCGGAGGAAGGUGGGGAUGACGUCAAGUCCUCAUGGCCCUUAUGGGUAGGGCUUCACACGUCAUACAAUGGUCGGUACAAAGGGUCGCCAACCCGCGAGGGGGAGCCAAUCCCAGAAAGCCGAUCGUAGUCCGGAUCGUAGGCUGCAACUCGCCUGCGUGAAGUCGGAAUCGCUAGUAAUCGUGGAUCAGCAUGUCACGGUGAAUACGUUCCCGGGUCUUGUACACACCGCCCGUCACACCAUGGGAGCGGGUUCCGCCAGAAGUAGGUAGCCUAACCGCAAGGAGGGCGCUUACCACGGCGGGGUUCGUGACUGGGGUGAAGUCGUAACAAGGUA